GGGCGGGGGGGCAGCUACACAUGCAGUCGAGCGGUAACAGGAAGAAGCUUGCUUCUUUGCUGACGAGCGGCGGACGGGUGAGUAAUACUUGGGAACUUGCCUUUAGGAGGGGGAUAACCGCUGGAAACGGUGGCUAAUACCGCAUAAUGUCUACGGACCAAAGCAGGGGCUCUUCGGACCUUGCACCUAAAGAUAGGCCCAAGCGAGAUUAGCUAGUUGGUGGGGUAAAGGCCCACCAAGGCGACGAUCUCUAGCUGUUCUGAGAGGAUGAUCAGCCACACUGGGACUGAGACACGGCCCAGACUCCUACGGGAGGCAGCAGUGGGGAAUAUUGCACAAUGGGGGAAACCCUGAUGCAGCCAUGCCGCGUGUGUGAAGAAGGCCUUCGGGUUGUAAAGCACUUUCAGUGGUGAGGAAGGCCGUAAGAUUAAUACUCUUGCGGAUUGACGUUAACCACAGAAGAAGCACCGGCUAACUCCGUGCCAGCAGCCGCGGUAAU
rnacentral:rRNA from 1 species